rnacentral:rRNA from 1 species
AAGUCGAGCGAGCUGAACCAACAGAUUCACUUCGGUGAUGACGUUGGGAACGCGAGCGGCGGAUGGGUGAGUAACACGUGGGGAACCUGCCCCAUAGUCUGGGAUACCACUUGGAAACAGGUGCUAAUACCGGAUAAGAAAGCAGAUCGCAUGAUCAGCUUAUAAAAGGCGGCGUAAGCUGUCGCUAUGGGAUGGCCCCGCGGUGCAUUAGCUAGUUGGUAGGGUAACGGCCUACCAAGGCAAUGAUGCAUAGCCGAGUUGAGAGACUGAUCGGCCACAUUGGGACUGAGACACGGCCCAAACUCCUACGGGAGGCAGCAGUAGGGAAUCUUCCACAAUGGACGAAAGUCUGAUGGAGCAACGCCGCGUGAGUGAAGAAGGUUUUCGGAUCGUAAAGCUCUGUUGUUGGUGAAGAAGGAUAGAGGUAGUAACUGGCCUUUAUUUGACGGUAAUCAACCAGAAAGUCACGGCUAACUACGUGCCAGCAGCCGCGGUAAUACGUAGGUGGCAAGCGUUGUCCGGAUUUAUUGGGCGUAAAGCGAGCGCAGGCGGAAGAAUAAGUCUGAUGUGAAAGCCCUCGGCUUAACCGAGGAACUGCAUCGGANACUGUUUUUCUUGAGUGCAGAAGAGGAGAGUGGAACUCCAUGUGUAGCGGUGGAAUGCGUAGAUAUAUGGAAGAAC